rnacentral:lncRNA from 1 species
CCAGCGCGUGCCCGCCCGGCGCCCUCUAGGGUGGAAGGCUGCGGGCGUCCUACCAGUGCCAGGACUGCCAGAGCGGGAGGAGCGCGGCGCGGGCCAGCCGGGACUGCUGGACAGCGGGGUCCAGGCUAGAGGCGAGCGAGCGGUCAGUGACGGCUGUGGAGGAGGGAGGCGCUGGGCGUCAGCGCGGGACCCGAGCCUCUGGACCACUGAGCUGGGGGGCUGGCUGAGGUCCACCUCCUAACAAAUUAUUGGAAGGAAUAUGAGAAAAAUGGAGUUUCACUCUUGUCACCCAGGCUGGAGUGCAAUAGAGCGAUCAUGGCUCACUGCAACCUCUGCCCCCCGGGUUCAAGCGAUUCUCCUGCCUCAGCCUCUCAAGUAGCUGGGAUUACAAGUGCCCACCACCACGCCCAGCUAAUUUUUGUAUUUUUAGUAAAGAUGGGGUUUCACCACAUUGGCCAGGCUGGUCUCUAACUCCUGACCUCACGUGAUUCAUCCAUCUCAGCCUCCCAAAGUGCUGGGAUUACAGGCAUGAGCCACUGUGCCUGGCCUAUACUUAUAUUUUCUUCUGUGAUUUUAAUAUUUUAGUGUUUAUGUUUUGGUCUAUGAUCCAUUUUGAGUAAAUUUUUAUAUUUGGUAUAAGGUAGGGGUCCAACUUUAUUUAUUUUUGAGAUGGAGGCUUACUCUAUUGCCCAGGCAGGCAUGCAAUGGUGCGAUCCAGCUCACUGCAACCUCUGUGUCCCAGGCUCAAGUGAUUCUCCCACCUCAGCCAUCUGAGUAGCUCGGAUUACAGGCCCCAUCACUAUGGUAAUUUUUAAAUUUUUAGUAGAGACGGGGUUUCACCAUGUUGGCCAGGCUGGUCUCGAACUCAUGACCUCAAGUGAUCUGCCCGCCUCUGCCCUACAAAGUGCUGGGAUUACAGGCGUGAGCCACCGUGCCUGGCCUCCAGCUUUAUUCUUUUUUUUUUUUUUUUUUUGAGACAGAGUCUUGUUCUGUCACCCAGGCUGGAGUGCUGGAGUGCAGUGGCGCGAUCUCGGCUCACUGCAAGCUCCGCCUCCUGGGUUCACGCCAUUCUCCUGCCUCAGCCUCCCGAGUAGCUGGGACUACAGGCGCCUGCCACCACGCCUGGCUAAUUUUUUGUAUUUUUAGUAGAGAUGGGGUUUCUCCAUGUUAGCCAGGAUGGUCUCGAUCUCCUGACCUCGUGGUCUGCCUGCCUCGGCCUCCCAAAAGUGCUGGGAUUACAGGCGUGAGCGACCAUGCCCGGCCAACUUUAUUCUUUUAGAUGUGGAUGUCUAGUUGUUCCAGAAGUAUCUGUUAAAAAUGUUACUCUUUCUCCAUUGGAUUAUUUUGGCAACCUUAUAAACAAUCAAUUGACCAUAAAAAAAAAAAAAAAAAAAAAAAAAAAAAA